UAAUACAGAGGGUGCGAGCGUUGUCCGGAAUCACUGGGCGUAAAGGGCGUGUAGGUGGCUUGGUAAGCCGCGUGUGAAAUCCCGGGGCUCAACCCCGGAACGGCACGCGGGACUGUCAGGCUAGAGCAUGGUAGAGGCGAGUGGAAUUCCUGGUGUAGCGGUGGAAUGCGUAGAGAUCAGGAAGAACACCGGUGGCGAAGGCGGCUCGCUGGGCCAUUGCUGACACUGAGGCGCGAAAGCGUGGGGAGCAAACAGGAUUAGAUACCCUGGUAGUCCACGCUGUAAACGAUGGGCACUAGGCGUCGGGGGGAGCGACCCUCCCGGUGCCGUCGCUAACGCAAUAAGUGCCCCGCCUGGGGAGUACGGCCGCAAGGUUG
rnacentral:rRNA from 1 species